rnacentral:rRNA from 1 species
CCAGCACGUUAUGGUGGGCACUCUAAGGAGACUGCCGGUGACAAACCGGAGGAAGGUGGGGAUGACGUCAAGUCAUCAUGGCCCUUACGGCCUGGGCUACACACGUGCUACAAUGGUCGGUACAGAGGGUUGCCAAGCCGCGAGGUGGAGCUAAUCCCAGAAAACCGAUCGUAGUCCGGAUCGCAGUCUGCAACUCGACUGCGUGAAGUCGGAAUCGCUAGUAAUCGCGAAUCAGAAUGUCGCGGUGAAUACGUUCCCGGGCCUUGUACACACCGCCCGUCACACCAUGGGAGUGGGUUGCACCAGAAGUAGCUAGUCUAACC